rnacentral:rRNA from 1 species
AGAGUUUGAUCCUGGCUCAGAACGAACGCUGGCGGCAGGCCUAACACAUGCAAGUCGAACGGGCGCAGCAGUGCGUCAGUGGCAGACGGGUGAGUAACACGUGGGAACGUCCCCCUCGGUUCGGAAUAACUCAGGGAAACUUGAGCUAAUACCGGAUACGUCCGAGAGGAGAAAGAUUUAUCGCCGAGGGAUCGGCCCGCGUCUGAUUAGCUAGUUGGUGAGGUAAUGGCUCACCAAGGCGACGAUCAGUAGCUGGUCUGAGAGGAUGAUCAGCCACACUGGGACUGAGACACGGCCCAGACUCCUACGGGAGGCAGCAGUGGGGAAUAUUGGACAAUGGGCGCAAGCCUGAUCCAGCCAUGCCGCGUGAGUGAUGAAGGCCUUAGGGUUGUAAAGCUCUUUUGCCAGGGAAGAUAAUGACUGUACCUGGAGAAUAAGC